UCAACCUCGCCCAUAUCAAUGACUCAGAUUAUCGUAUUUAUUUGAUCGGUAAACAGACUUAUCGGUGCAAUUUUCUAAUACUAAAUGGGUCAUUAUUAUAAUUAUUGUCAUUAUAACAAUAAAGAGCACCUAAUUUUGAUUAUGUUUUCUAUAAAAAGCAAAGAAAAAAAACCUUGGAUAUAGUCAGGAAGCUUGUAGUAUUGAAGAAGACAAAAAGAAUUAACUGACAAAAUGCAUUCCAAAAAAACAACUUUGCUAAAUUUUGUGUUGGCGGUUGUGAUUUGGGCUUCUGUCUUUUAUGUGGCUUCUGCACGUGCAUCAAAAAGGUCAUCGGUCGACUAAUUCUAACAUUUCAACAAAAGUUGAAAUGUACUGGAGAAAAAAUAUAAAAGUUAUUUGAUAGUG